UUUUGUAUGUCCAUAUGAUAGGAUCGGCUACUCCGUGCCAGCAGNCGCGUAAUACGGAGGAUCCGAGCGUUAUCCGGAUUUAUNGGGUUAAAGGGAGCGUAGGUGGACAGUUAAGUCAGUUGUGAAAGUNUGCGGCUCAACCGUAAAAUUGCAGUUGAUACUGGCUGUCUUGAGUACAGUAGAGGUGGGCGGAAUUCGUGGUGUAGCGGUGAAAUGCUUAGAUAUCACGAAGAACUCCGAUUGCGAAGGCAGCUCACUGGACUGCAACUGACACUGAUGCUCGAAAGUGUGGGUAUCAAACAGGAUUAGAUACCCUGGUAGUCCACACAGUAAACGAUGAAUACUCGCUGUUUGCGAUAUACAGUAAGCGGCCAAGCGAAAGCAUUAAGUAUUCCACCUGGGGAGUACGCCGGCAACGGUGAAACUCAAAGGAAUUGACGGGGGCCCGCACAAGCGGAGGAACAUGUGGUUUAAUUCGAUGAUACGCGAGGAACCUUACCCGGGCUUAAAUUGCAUUUGAAUAAUCUGGAAACAGGUUAGCCGCAAGGCAAAUGUGAAGGUGCUGCAUGGUUGUCGUCAGCUCGUGCCGUGAGGUGUCGGCUUAAGUGCCAUAACGAGCGCAACCCUUAUCUUUAGUUACUAACAGGUCAUGCUGAGGACUCUAGAGAGACUGCCGUCGUAAGAUGUGAGGAAGGUGGGGAUGACGUCAAAUCAGCACGGCCCUUACGUCCGGGGCUACACACGUGUUACAAUGGGGGGUACAGAAGGCAGCUACCUGGUGACAGGAUGCUAAUCCCAAAAGCCUCUCUCAGUUCGGAUCGAAGUCUGCAACCCGACUUCGUGAAGCUGGAUUCGCUAGUAAUCGCGCAUCAGCCAUGGCGCGGUGAAUACGUUCCCGGGCCUUGUACACACCGCCCGUCAAGCCAUGAAAGCCCGGGGGUACCUGAAGUACGUAACCGCAAGGAGCGUCCUAGGGUAAAC
rnacentral:rRNA from 1 species